rnacentral:rRNA from 1 species
GACGAACGCUGGCGGCGUGCUUAACACAUGCAAGUCGAACGCUGAAGCUCAGCUUUUGUUGGGUGGAUGAGUUGCGAACGGGUGAGUAACACGUGAGUAACCUGCCUCCUUCUUUGGGAUAACGCCCGGAAACGGGUUCUAAUACUGGAUAUUCACUGGUCUUCGCAUGGGGGUUGGUGGAAAGGGUUUUUCUGGUUGGGGAUGGGCUCGCGGCCUAUCAGCUUGUUGGUGGGGUGAUGGCCUACCAAGGCUUUGACGGGUAGCCGGCCUGAGAGGGUGACCGGUCACAUUGGGACUGAGGUACGGCCCAGACUCCGACGGGAGGCAGCAGUGGGGAAUAUUGCACAAUGGGGGAAAGCCUGAUGCAGCGACGCGGCGGGAGGGAUGGAGGCCUUCGGGUUGUGAACCUCUUUCGCUCAUGGUCAAGCCGCAACAAUGGUUGUGGUGAGGGUAGUGGGUAAAGAAGCGCCGGCUAACUACGUG